GCCUUCUUUAAAUAAAAAAUCAAGCAAAAGCCCCGUUAGAUCAGCUAAUACUCAAUCUGAUGCGAUAUGCCCGUCUGUUCGCGGCGUCCUGUGUAGAUGUUGGACGUUUUUGCACAUGAAUAUUGUUUGUAUAAUGCAGUCAUAAUAUUUACGAAGGGACGCAGGAGGAGUGAGGUGGAAGCUCUGCCGAGCUGUGAGCACAGAAACUCGGACGGGGACGUGAGAUCGACUCCUGCAGGCAUUUUAUGAUCCAGGGAUAAAGGAAGAUUCAGUCCCACACAGUGAGUGGGAGCCUGUUUGGUGCCCCACCCUGCAGCCUACACCUCCCAGGGCCGCUCCACCAUGGUCUGUCUGAUGCAGGGAGAGACAUCAAUAAUAAGAGCUGAAGCAGAAACCACAAUGGAGAACACAAAAGAGAGAGGGAGGGCAGACACAGGCCACAACCGGCUCUGCUGCAGGGGGAUUUUCCUGUGGCAAGCUGCUUCGGAAAAAGCAAUUAAGAAUUCCCAAACAGUACACCACAAUGGGAGAUAUCAUUUGUGCAAUGUGUGUUCCAUGUCCCUCACAGUUUUUUGUCUGGAGUGGCUUGGCUAUUUUUAAUCUGUGCACAACCGAACCCACCUACAGACAAACCACAAAUUGAAUGAAGGGGAGGGGAAUGAGUGGACAUAGUAAUUGCCUAUUGUGAAGCUCAAACUCCUCUGUUCUGCCAUAAACAGCUUUGGUACUUCACAACUUGAUACACAGUGCUCCAGUUGGUUUGAAAUUAGGGCAUAUCCUCAUUGUCUGUGGGAACCCAAAGCCAGGCAGUGGUUGGAAUCAGUCAGGAAUGCUUUGGGAUGGUAACUGGAUUCAGUUGUAAUGCCCGACUAUCCACAGUGGAACCCUGGGGUGGGAAAAAGGCAGAGAGCAUUUCCUGAGUGGAGGGGGGUCCCAGCGAAGCAUCACACGCAUGGGCAUCAUGUGACAGUGAUCCUGCCAGGUUUUAGCCUAUGAUCCCAAGUGAAGAAAGGAGUGGAGAAGGAGUAUGGCUGUGUGGGAGGUGUGGUGGGUGCUUUAGGCAGUGCCAGGGAAAGGAGAGGACAGGGAGAGGCACAAAUACUGGAGCUGUUACAAUGCAAACUGUCAAAGAAAAGGGGGAAGUCCAAAGUAUUGUAGUGCAAAGCUACUGUCUGUAUCUGUCUCACAACAUUUGAAUGUAUUCCUGAAGUAGCUGCGGAUAAACUGAAAGUUGUUUGAAAUCGACUAUGCUGUUUGUUUUGUGUUACAUUUUUUUUCUUCUUCUGACAUUUGUACUCUGCACAAGUAUAUUUUUAAGUUUAGCUGCUUACAAAAUAACAUAAAUGUUUUAACCAUGUAUGAUCAAAUUAAAAACAAUAAAAAAAGGUGUAAACUGUGUCUCAAUAAAAUCUGUAUCUGAUAAUGCUCUGGGAGGAAAUAGAGGAAAAACAAAAGGAGAUUUUAACAGCUAGAAAAUUACAUUGGGUCAUUUUGUGCAUGUGUCUGUGAUUUCUUUUUUUAUGUAGAAAGCUCUCUCAGCCAAUUUGCAUGGACCUUUAACUUCAGUUCAUCAGUUUUCAUCUAAUAUCAACUUCAAUAUCAUCAAUAGCAUCAGGUCAUGAGGUAAAAAUAACACCUGUGCAACAUCAGCCGAGCUUUACCUGGCACAUCAUACCUUAUCUGAUUAAAACCGAUGAAAAGUUAUUGAGGAUGACCCUCCUUGAAUGUCUGAAUGUAGAACUUAAAGCUAUCUACAAUUCCGUGUUAUUAGCAUGUAGCUUAUUUGUUGGAUUUCUGUAAAAUCUGCAUCAUUAAAAGUCUUGCUGCUUGGGCCACUAGCAGUUUUUGUUCACACUGUGCACACACAAAUCACCUGGAUUACUUACUGAAGAGAAAAUCUUCAGCACUGUGUUUGAUGUCUGUGUGUUUUGAUUUGACAGUUAUGACUCUGAAAAUCGAUUGACAGGAAAAAUAGACAAAUAUUACUGCCAAAAUUAGCAUGCUGUUUGUAUCUUUUCAGAGCACAUUAUCUGCUCCUAUUCGUAUUGAUUGACAUCUUUUGUAAAUAUGUGUCUUAUAAAGUUUCUGUCUGAAAAAGGGAUGCUCAUUGCACUUGAUUGCAAUUAACUAGUAAUUUCAACAGAGAAAUUUUGCAAAACGUAUUGUGAAGAAGACACAGGUUUUGUUUGUAAUAAUACAGUAACUGUAGGAGGACUCAUGUGGAGUGUGUUUUUAUGUCCCUCCACCUGUUAUUCUGUGCACAUGUGCAUAUGUAUGUCCAUGGCUGACUCAUGUGUACAUGCUGAUUGAAAUAUUGGAAACUGUGUCUUUACCUUUUGGUUUUGUGUGCCUGCAAUGGCUGUCUAUGGCUGCAUGUGUUCAUGUAUCAGUGCAUAUGAGGAUGUUGCUGACUAGAUAUUUGUGUCCAGAGUGACUGGUGCUGGCAGCCAGACGUUGCUCCCUUUGGCUUGUGUAAAUGUUGUGACGAUCUUGGGAGGAAUCUUACCCUAUAGUUGUCAAAGGGCUUUUUAUUUCCACCUGCUACUGGCCUCUUUCCGUUGGUCUGCGCUAUAACAAUGGUAGUGGGAAAGCUGUGGAGUGCAAAUUGAUUGAUGUUGGACUGUAUUUGGCCCUUCUUCAAAUUGGGGCCUGAAAGGAAGUGGCUAUCCCUCCCUUCCACCCUGACUACCCCGCAAUAACGUGGGCGCGAGAGGGCAAAGUGCUGAUCAGAAUGUUCUUAGACAUCCCAUUUUAACUAACUAACCCUAACUAAGUGCCAAUCGUAAACAAGGUUUCAACAGUUAAAAAUCAAUUUGCCAGUAGAAGAAACAGAAUGAAGUUAAUUGAUGCCACACAAUUGAUCCCCUCCAUCUUGUUUUCAACCAUCAUUCGUUUUCUUGUCCUGUCUGGGGUGAAAAGAGAUACAGGCUCAUCACGACUGCAUUCUUUCCAUUUAGCUGAAGAGCAGCAUGGCAGAAAAGGUAAUCUAUCACCAAAACUGUCUGUCCUUCUCUCUCACUAUUUCAAACUGUGUUUCUCUUUCUCC